AUACAUACCUGGCAGGGAGAUACCAUGAUAAUGAAGGUGGUUUUCACAGGGCAAGGCCCACCCAUCACACUCUGGGCGUGCUGACCCCUGCAAUUUCCCCAAUUAUGGGAAACUCGACUCCAUAAUUUGUGGUAGUAGGGUCUGCAUUCAUGUUCUCCUUUA
ensembl:snRNA U1 U1 spliceosomal RNA